rnacentral:rRNA from 1 species
GCGUGGCGGCUGCUAUAAUGCAGUCGAACGCUUUUUCUUUCACCGGAGCUUGCUCCACCGAAAGAAAAAGAGUGGCGAACGGGUGAGUAACACGUGGGUAACCUGCCCAUCAGAAGGGGAUAACACUUGGAAACAGGUGCUAAUACCGUAUAACACUAUUUUCCGCAUGGAAGAAAGUUGAAAGGCGCUUUUGCGUCACUGAUGGAUGGACCCGCGGUGCAUUAGCUAGUUGGUGAGGUAACGGCUCACCAAGGCCACGAUGCAUAGCCGACCUGAGAGGGUGAUCGGCCACACUGGGACUGAGACACGGCCCAGACUCCUACGGGAGGCAGCAGUAGGGAAUCUUCGGCAAUGGACGAAAGUCUGACCGAGCAACGCCGCGUGAGUGAAGAAGGUUUUCGGAUCGUAAAACUCUGUUGUUAGAGAAGAACAAGGAUGAGAGUAGAACGUUCAUCCCUUGACGGUAUCUAACCAGAAAGCCACGGCUAACUACGUGCCAGCAGCCGCGGUAAUACGUAGGUGGCAAGCGUUGUCCGGAUUUAUUGGGCGUAAAGCGAGCGCAGGCGGUUUCUUAAGUCUGAUGUGAAAGCCCCCGGCUCA